UACGUAGGGGGCAAGCGUUGUCCGGAUUUAUUGGGCGUAAAGAGCGUGUAGGCGGCCAGGUAGGUCUGCUGUGAAAACUCGAGGCUUAACCUCGAGCUGUCGGCGGAAACCAUCUGGCUAGAGUCCGGAAGAGGAGAAUGGAAUUCCCGGUGUAGCGGUGAAAUGCGCAGAUAUCAGGAAGAACACCCGUGGCUAAGGCGGUUCUCUAGUACGGUACUGACGCUGAGACGCGAAAGCGUGGGAGCGAACAGG
rnacentral:rRNA from 1 species